GCCUCGGUGGUGUAGUGGUAGUAGCACGAGUCCGCGGUAUGCAUGAAACGCGAGCUCGAUUCCUGCCUGAGGCC